GAUUGGAGAAUUAAAAGGGUGUCUAUAGGAUUGAGUAUGCGGAGUGAAUGAAAUUUGUUAGGUUAAUCUAACAAGACAGUCAGUGGAUACAAGAUCGUGAGUACAAAGCGGUAUCGAAGAUUAACAGUUUGGGUUGUUUAGGGUUCUUUGUAACGUUUAGAGACCUACGGGCCGGGACAAAAAGGACUUCGGCGAGCAGUUGAAGGGCAUCCGUAUAGAUUUACGAUAUAUUCUU
rnacentral:lncRNA from 1 species